AAGAGACGUUGCCCUUCGGGGUAUACCUCCCACCCUUUGUUUAUUAUACCUUUGUUGCUUUGGCGGGCCAGUCCUCGGACCACCGGCUUCUGCUGGUCAGUGCCCGCCAGAGGACCUAAAACUCUGUUUGUUAAUAUUGUCUGAGUACUAUAUAAUAGUUA
rnacentral:misc_RNA from 1 species